UACGAAGGGGGCUAGCGUUGUUCGGAUUUACUGGGCGUAAAGCGCACGUAGGCGGAUCGAUCAGUCAGGGGUGAAAUCCCAGAGCUCAACUCUGGAACUGCCUUUGAUACUGUCGAUCUGGAGUAUGGAAGAGGUGAGUGGAAUUCCGAGUGUAGAGGUGAAAUUCGUAGAUAUUCGGAGGAACACCAGUGGCGAAGGCGGCUCACUGGUCCAUUACUGACGCUGAGGUGCGGAAGCGUGGGGAGCAAACAGG
rnacentral:rRNA from 1 species